UUUAUCAAAAACAUCGCCUCUUGCCUACAUAAGUAUAAGAGGUCCCGCCUGCCCUGUGAUAUUAUUUUAACGGCCGCGGUAUUUUGACCGUGCGAAGGUAGCGUAAUCACUUGUCUUUUAAUUAAAGACCCGUAUGAAAGGCACCACGAGAGUUUAUCUGUCUCUAUUUUCCAAUCAAUGAAAUUGAUCUUCUCGUGCAGAAGCGAGAAUAAUAACAUAAGACGAGAAGACCCUAUGGAGCUUUAAACACUUAAGUUAAUUAUUUCAAUAUAGUCAUACCCAAGGGAACAUAAACACCGCAUAAUAAAUUUAACUUAACUUGUUUUUGGUUGGGGCGACCAAGGGGAAAAACUAAACCCCCUCAUCGACUGAGUAUUUAUAUACUUAAAAAUUAGAAUUACAAUUCUAAUUAAUAGAAUAUCUACCGAACAAUGACCCAGGACCCAUAAUCCUGAUCAAUGAACCAAGUUACCCUAGGGAUAACAGCGCAAUCCUUUCUUAGAGUCCCCAUCGCCGAAAGGGUUUACGACCUCGAUGUUGGAUCAGGACAUCCUAAUGGUGCAACCGCUAUUAAGGGUUCGUUUG
rnacentral:rRNA from 1 species